rnacentral:tRNA from 2 species
GGGGCCGUAGCUCAGUUGGUAGAGCGUCUCGUUCGCAAUGAGAAGGUCAGGGGUUCGAUUCCCCUCGGCUCCACCA